ACCAAUGGAGGAAGAUGCACCAGUAAGUGUACCUUUUCUUUUUCUUUGUACUGAUAAUGUGAUUCUACUUACAAUUCAUUGCUACGAAGAAUGAGGAAGAGGAGUUCAACACUGGGCCUCUCUCUGUCUUAAUGAUGAGUGUCAAAAACAAUAGUCAGGUUCUUAUUAAUUAACUGCAUGAACAGUAAAAAGCUAUUAGGUCGUGUUAGGGCCUUCGAUCGACACUGCAACAUGGUGCUGGAAAACAUUAGGGAAAUGUGGACUGAGGUUGCUUCUUCUCUCGAAAUAACUUAUCUAGCACUUUUUUUAAUUCCAUUUUCGAAAUAACUUAUUAGCAAGAUGUUUCUUCGAGGUGACUCCAUUAUCAUUGUGCUUAGAAACCCCAAGUGAGAGGGUCACCACCUCAAUGUGAUCUGGCUCUGCCUGUUUCAACAUGUACCCAAUAGUAGGUACUUUAACCCAACAGACUAGGCCAAACCUGUUUUCAAUUAUACAAGUUCUGUGUGGGCCUUGGCUGUGAGUUCUACAAGCACUACUGUGCUUGUAUGGGUUGGGGAGGGAGUACACAAUGAGCUUUUAAAAGUUUGGUCAUACCUGUGGAUUGGACUAAGAUGUCAUUGGGUUCAAGUGUUAGAUGUCCAGCAUGAUGGAGGUGUAAGUAUGGGCUCCAGAAUGUGAUGCAUCAUUGCAUUGGGCUAGAGAUGGAUCACCUUGUAUAUGGCAUGGGCCGAUUGAUUCUUAAAACGCUAAUAUGCAUCGUGGACUAUGAGCUUGCUAUUGGCCUUUACUCUUUCUAGGAUGUUUGUUGUCAAAAGUUGUAAAAAGUAUUAGGUGACUCAAUAUAAUUGUAAAUAUAUUACUACUUUAAAUACCUUAGGUUGAUGUUGGGUUUGGAGUUGCAGGGCAAAGGUGCAUGGCUUUAAGCACCCUUGUUUUUUGUUAGUGAUCCAAAAUGAUGGUAUUUUGCUUUUUAA